rfam:Globicatella sp. HMSC072A10 Globicatella_spHMPREF2811-1.0_Cont619.2, whole genome shotgun sequence.
UGACGGAACUCUGGAGAGACCAUUAAUUUGGCGCCGAAGGGGCAAGGCUUUGCUCAAUCUCUCAGGCAAAAGGACAGAGAAAUUGUU